UAGAAGAGUUCACUAGUGUGAAGCAGGGCAACUUAACGGUAGCAGAGUAUGCUCGACAGUUCGACCGAAUAGCCAAGUUUGCACCAGAGUUGGUCCUAACCGAUUUCCUGAGGGUCACCAAGUUCGUUAGAGGACUUAGACCAAAGAUUGAGCUAGGAGUCAAGCUAGCAAAUCCUGGAACUUCUUAUUAUGCCGAUGCUCUAGAAACGACUAUAGAAGUGGAAAGGCUUUAGGCGAAUGUUAGUAAGGAGGAGGCCAGUAAGCCUAAACCUAAACAGCAGAAUUAACCACAGAACGGUCGGAACCACAACAACAACCAUCAUCAUAGCAACAAUAAUGGCCAGAAGAGAAGGCAUCUUGACAACAUGUAGUGCACCAAUUUUUUUUUUUAGUUUAUUAAAAUUUUUGGUGUUUUAUUUUAUUUAAGUGUUAAGUGUGGUGAAUUGUUUUAUUUAAAUGUUGUUUAUUUUAUUUAGUUGUUGUUUGUUUUAUUUAAUUGUUAGAAUUGUUUGGUAUAACCUUUUUGAAUUUAAAUUUGUUAAUUGUUUGUUUGAUUAUUUAUUUUUAAUAUGUGAAUAAUUGUGUAACUUGUUUAUUUUACUAUUAGUGUUACAUUUUUAAAUAAGUGUGACAAUUGAUGUGAUUAAAAUAUGUUAUUUUCUUUUAGUGUUAGUGUGUGCCGAAAUGUGUGUGUGUGUGUGUAUGUGAAUGUGUUUUAUUUUUCUUUUAUUAAUUUAUUUAGUUAUUGUUCCCAUUAUAGAAAAGGAAAGGGUAGUAUGAAUCUAGACCUAAUGUGAGUCUUGAGCAUUUUCCUUUUAAUUAUGAAAAGAAAAGAAAAUAGAAAAGAAAAGAAAUAUAAGUUGUCAUCUUGUAGGAAAAGAUGACAAGGUUGAUUUUUGAUUUGGUUCACAUUAGGAUAAGGGUUUAGGUGAGGUGUAAGGAGAGGAAAUAAUGGGAUUUAGCUUAAAUUAUGGGUUAGGAAUUUGACUUUUCACACUUAAGUCAUUUUCUUAAGGUUAGGUCACUAGAGGCUAUAAAUAGGAGAGUAUGGAAGCCUUGGCAUUCUUUUGCUUGUGGCUGUCGAAAUUAAAAGAGAAGGAGAGAGAGAGAGAGAGGCGUGAAAGAGAGAGAAAGUGGAGGAGAAAGGAAGAAGAAGAAGGAGGUCCUAGGGUAUUCAAAGGUGAUUAUCACUUGGGUGUUGAUCAAGUUGUGUUCUUGAUUUUACAAUAAAGAGAGGCUCGUUGAGAAGUUGUGGUUUUACUUAGCUUGGACCUGAGCUCAUUCCUUUAUUUUUAGCUUGACGCAUGGAAGUGAUUAUGGAAGGCAGAAAUAUUCAUGGCAGCUUGGCUUGUGUGUUGAGGAUGAAUGGACUGCGUGGCGAUCAAAAUCGAGGAUGACGUUGUUUUUAAGUCUUUUUAUUUAUGUGUUUUUUUUUAAUGUAUUUCCACAUUUAGUAUUUAAACAAAUUAAAGUUAUGUUUUAUAUUUUAUAAACAAUGGGA